UAGGGAAUAUUGGACAAUGGGGGCAACCCUGAUCCAGCCAUGCCGCGUGAGUGAAGAAGGCCCUCGGGUUGUAAAGCUCUUUUGUCCGGAAGGAAAAGCUUCGGGUUAAUACCCCGGGGUUCUGACGGUACCGGAAGAAUAAGCACCGGCUAACUUCGUGCCAGCAGCCGCGGUAAUACGAAGGGUGCAAGCGUUACUCGGAAUUACUGGGCGUAAAGCGUGCGUAGGUGGUUGUUUAAGUCUGAUGUGAAAGCCCUGGACUCAACCUGGGAAUGGCAUUGGAAACUGGGCAGCUAGAGUGCGGUAGAGGGUAGUGGAAUUCCCGGUGUAGCAGUGAAAUGCGUAGAGAUCGGGAGGAACAUCUGUGGCGAAGGCGACUGCCUGGACCAGCACUGACACUGAGGCACGAAAGCGUGGGGAGCAAACA
rnacentral:rRNA from 1 species